UACAGAGGGUGCAAGCGGUGAUCGGAAUUACUGGGCGUAAAGCGUGCUUAGGUGGUUUGUUAAGUCAGGCGUGAAAUCCCUGGGCUCAACCUGGGAACUGCGUUUGAUACUGGCAGACUCGAGUGUGGUAGAGGGUAGUGGAAUUCCGCAUGUAGCAGUGAAAUGCGUAGAUAUGCGGAGGAACACCAGUUGCGAAGGCGGCUACCGGGACCAACACUGACACUGAGGCACGAAAGCGUGGGGAGCAAACAGG
rnacentral:rRNA from 1 species